UACGUAGGGGGCUAGCGUUGUCCGGAUUUACUGGGCGUAAAGAGCGCGCAGGCGGUCGUUCAAGUCGAGUGUGAAAGCCCCCGGCUCAACUGGGGAGGGUCAUUCGAUACUGAUCGACUCGAAGGCAGGAGAGGGAAGUGGAAUUCCCGGUGUAGUGGUGAAAUGCGUAGAUAUCGGGAGGAACACCAGUGGCGAAGGCGACUUCCUGGCCUGUUCUUGACGCUGAGGCGCGAAAGCUAGGGGAGCAAACGGG
rnacentral:rRNA from 1 species